AGAGAAAUAGCUUAGUGGUAGAGCGUAUGCUUAGCAUGCACAAGGUGCUAGGUUCAAUCCCCAGCACCUCCA
rnacentral:tRNA from 1 species